GGGGUAAAAUUAAUAAAUAAAACAAUAAUAAAAAAAUUUUUAAUAUAAAAAUAUUUAAUGGGGGUUAAAGUAUUUUAAUAGAAAAAAAUUUAUAAUUUUAUAGUUAAUUAGUAUUGUGAAAGAAAUUUGAAAUAAAAAUGAAAAAAAAUUAGAUGGAAAGUAAAUUUAAUUUAUUGUAUCUUGUGUAUCAGAGUUUAUUAAUAAAAAUUUAUUAAAUGUAAAAUUCUCGAAUUUAAAAGAGUUAAUUAAUUAAAAAAUUUAUUGUUUCAUAAAUAUUUUAAAUAAUUAAUUAGAAAUGAAAUGUUAUUCGUUUUUAAAUAUAUCUAGUUAUUUUAGAAAAAAAUUUAAUUUUUAAUUAAAUUUAAAAAUUAAUAAAUUAAUUUAUUAAUUUUUAAAUUUAAUUUAAUAUUUUAAGGGAUAAGCUUUAAUUUAAAUUUUUAUAAUUAAAUAUUAAUUAUUUGAAAAUUUUAUAAUUUAUAUUGUUAAUAAAUUUUAAUUUAUUAUAAAUAAUUUCAUAAAAUUGAAAAUUUAAUAAAAUUUAAUUUUUUAUAAAAUAAAAUUUUUUAAUUAAAAAAAAUUGGUUAUAAUGAUAAAAUUAGUAUAUAAAAUAAGUUAAUAAUUAAUAAUUUAUAAAAAUUAUAUAUAAAGGAAUUCGACAAAUAUAUAUAUUCACCUGUUUAUCAAAAACAUGUCUUUUUGAAAAUAAUUUAAAGUCUAAUCUGCCCACUGAUUUAAAUAUUGAAGGGCUGCAGUAUAUUGACUGUACAAAGGUAGCAUAAUCAUUAGUCUCUUAAUUGGUGACUUGUAUGAAAGAUUGGAUGAAAUAUAAAUUGUCUCUAUAAUAUUUAUUGAAUUUAAUUUUUUAAUUAAAAAGUUAAAAUAAAUUAAAAAGACGAGAAGACCCUAUAGAGUUUUAUAUUUAUUUUUUUUUUUAAUUUUAAUAAAUUGAAUAUUUAAUAAAUAAAUAAGUAUUUUGUUGGGGUGAUAAAAAAAUAAAAUUAACUUUUUUUAUAUGAUAAACAUAAAUAAGUGAUUAAUUGAUCCAUUAAUAUUGAUUAUAAGAAAAAAUUACCUUAGGGAUAACAGCGUAAUUUUUUUUUUUAGUUCAAAUAAGAAAAAAAGUUUGCGACCUCGAUGUUGGAUUAAGAUAAAAUUUAAAUGCAAAAGUUUAAAAUUUUGAUCUGUUCGAUCAUUAAAAUCUUACAUGAUCUGAGUUCAAACCGGUGUAAGCCAGGUUGGUUUCUAUCUUUUAAAUAUUUUAAUAUUUUAGUACGAAAGGAUCAAGUAUUAUAAUUAAAUUAAAUUAAUUUGAAUAUUAUUAAUAAAAAAUAAAUUUA
rnacentral:rRNA from 1 species